rnacentral:rRNA from 1 species
UGGCCCUUACGACCAGGGCUACACACGUGCUACAAUGGCGCAUACAAAGAGAAGCGACCUCGCGAGAGCAAGCGGACCUCAUAAAGUGCGUCGUAGUCCGGAUUGGAGUCUGCAACUCGACUCCAUGAAGUCGGAAUCGCUAGUAAUCGUGGAUCAGAAUGCCACGGUGAAUACGUUCCCGGGCCUUGUACACACCGCCCGUCACACCAUGGGAGUGGGUUGCAAAAGAAGUAGGUAGCUUAACCUUCGGGAGGGCGCUUACCACUUUGUGAUUCAUGACUGGGGUGAAGUCGUAACAAGGUAACCGUAGGGGAACCUGCGGUUGGAUCACCUCCUUACCUUAAAGAAGC